rnacentral:lncRNA from 1 species
UUGUUUUAAGUAAUUUUCUCAUAGUUAUUAUUAAAGUUAAUUUUUUUAAAUUUAGAGUUUUUAUUGAUUUCCUUUUGGAAUAAUUUGUGGAUGUUUAUGUAUUGGUUGAUUUAUAUGUUAAGACACGAGAGAGUCAAGCAUGAUAAGUUGUUUUCAAAAAUUAUUAUUUUAUGUUGUCUUCUUAAAUUGAAUUAUUAUCUUGAAAAUUUGAAAUUGC